rnacentral:rRNA from 1 species
GCGAACGCUGGCGGCAUGCCUAACACAUGCAAGUCGAACGAGACCUUCGGGUCUAGUGGCGCACGGGUGCGUAACGCGUGGGAACCUGCCCUUAGGUUCGGAAUAACUCCCCGAAAGGGGUGCUAAUACCGGAUAAUGUCUUCGGACCAAAGAUUUAUCGCCUUUGGAUGGGCCCGCGUUGGAUUAGCUAGUUGGUAGGGUAAAAGCCUACCAAGGCGACGAUCCAUAGCUGGUCUGAGAGGAUGAUCAGCCACACUGGGACUGAGACACGGCCCAGACUCCUACGGGAGGCAGCAGUGGGGAAUAUUGGACAAUGGGCGAAAGCCUGAUCCAGCAAUGCCGCGUGAGUGAUGAAGGCCUUAGGGUUGUAAAGCUCUUUUACCCGGGAUGAUAAUGACAGUACCGGGAGAAUAAGCUCCGGCUAACUCCGUG